UACGUAGGGGGCAAGCGUUGUCCGGAAUCAUUGGGCGUAAAGAGCGUGUAGGCGGCCCGAUAAGUCCGCUGUGAAAGUCCAGGGCUCAACCCUGGAAUGCCGGUGGAUACUGUCGGGCUCGAAUCCGGAAGAGGUGAGUGGAAUUCCCGGUGUAGCGGUGAAAUGCGCAGAUAUCAGGAGGAACACCGGUGGCGAAGGCGGGAUCCUGGGCCAGUACUGACGCUGAGGAGCGAAAGCGUGGGGAGCAAACAGG
rnacentral:rRNA from 1 species